CCAGAGGGCCGGGCGACCGCCGGUGCAUCCUUCACGGGAUGCGCGGGAGGAAAGUCCGGGCUCCAGCGAGGAACGGUGCCGGGUAACACCCGGCGGCAACGGCUUUCAGCCCGCGUCAGGGACAGUGCAACAGAAAGCAGGUCGCGAAGACUUCGGUCCCGUGACAGUGAAAGGGUGCGGCAAGAGCGCACCGCGCGCCUGGCAACAGGGGCGGCAUGGCAAACCCCACCGGGAGCAAGAUCGAAUAGGGGCGGCGCAUGGCAUUCCUCCUGCCAGUCGCCCGGGUUGAUUGCUUGAGCGUGCGGGCAACCGUACGCCUAGAGGAAUGGUCGCCCAGUUCCCGCAAGGGGAUGGACAGAACCCGGCUUACAGGCCCUCUGGCGCU
rnacentral:RNase_P_RNA from 1 species